UACGAGGGGGGCGAGCGUUGUUCGGAAUUAUUGGGCGUAAAGGGUGCGUAGGCGGUUUGGUAAGUCUCUUGUGAAAUCUAUGGGCUCAACUCAUAGUCUGCAAGGGAAACUGCCGGGCUUGAGUGUGGGAGAGGUGAGUGGAAUUUCCGGUGUAGCGGUGAAAUGCGUAGAUAUCUGCAGGAACACCCGUGGCGAAAGCGGCGAGCUGGAUCACUACUGACGCUGAGGAACGAAAGCUAGGGGAGCAAACAGG
rnacentral:rRNA from 1 species